UAGGGAAUCUUCCACAAUGGGCGCAAGCCUGAUGGAGCAACACCGCGUGAGUGAAGAAGGGUUUCGGCUCGUAAAACUCUGUUGUUGAAGAAGAACGUGCGUGAGAGUAACUGUUCACGCAGUGACGGUAUUCAACCAGAAAGUCACGGCUAACUACGUGCCAGCAGCCGCGGUAAUACGUAGGUGGCAAGCGUUAUCCGGAUUUAUUGGGCGUAAAGCGAGCGCAGGCGGUUUUCUAAGUCUGAUGUGAAAGCCUUCGGCUUAACCGGAGAAGUGCAUCGGAAACUGGAUAACUUGAGUGCAAGAGAGGACAGUGGAACUCCAUGUGUAGCGGUGGAAUGCGUAGAUAUAUGGAAGAACACCAGUGGCGAAGGCGGCUGUCUAGCUUGCAACUGACGCUGAGGCUCGAAAGCAUGGGUAGCGAACAGGA
rnacentral:rRNA from 1 species